CUUAUACUCCCUCCGUCCGAAAAUACUUGUCAUUGAAAUGGAUGUAUCUAGAUGUAUUUUAGUUCUAGACACAUCCAUUUUGAUGACAAGUAAUUUCGGACGGAGGGAGUACUUG
rnacentral:pre_miRNA from 1 species